rnacentral:rRNA from 1 species
UGAGGAAUAUUGGUCAAUGGAGGAAACUCUGAACCAGCCAAGUCGCGUGAAGGAUGACGGUCCUAUGGAUUGUAAACUUCUUUAGUAGGCGAGUAAGGAUAGGUACGUGUACCUAUUAGAAAGUAGCCUAAGAAUAAGUAUCGGCUAACUCCGUGCCAGCAGCCGCGGUAAUACGGAGGAUACGAGCGUUAUCCGGAUUUAUUGGGUUUAAAGGGAGCGUAGGCCGUUUGGUAAGCGUGUUGUGAAAUGUAGGAGCUCAACUUCUAGAUUGCAGCGCGAACUGUCAGACUUGAGUGCGCACAACGUAGGCGGAAUUCAUGGUGUAGCGGUGAAAUGCUUAGAUAUCAUGAAGAACUCCGAUUGCGAAGGCAGCUUACGGGAGCGCAACUGACGCUGAAGCUCGAAGGUGCGGGUAUCGAACAGG